GAAGAGUUGCGAACGGGUGAGUAACGCGUACGUAACCUGCCUACUAGCGGGGGAUAACUAUUGGAAACGAUAGCUAAUACCGCAUAACAGCAUUUAACACAUGUUAGAUGCUUGAAAGGAGCAAUUGCUUCACUAGUAGAUGGACCUGCGUUGUAUUAGCUAGUUGGUGAGGUAACGGCUCACCAAGGCGACGAUACAUAGCCGACCUGAGAGGGUGAUCGGCCACACUGGGACUGAGACACGGCCCAGACUCCUACGGGAGGCAGCAGUAGGGAAUCUUCGGCAAUGGGGGCAACCCUGACCGAGCAACGCCGCGUGAGUGAAGAAGGUUUUCGGAUCGUAAAGCUCUGUUGUAAGAGAAGAACGUGUGUGAGAGUGGAAAGUUCACACAGUGACGGUAACUUACCAGAAAGGGACGGCUAACUACGUGCCAUCAGCCGCGGUAAUACGUAGGUCCCGAGCGUUGUCCGGAUUUAUUGGGCGUAAAGCGAGCGCAGGCGGUUUAAUAAGUCUGAAGUUAAAGGCAGUGGCUUAACCAUUGUUCGCUUUGGAAACUGUUAGACUUGAGUGCAGAAGGGGAGAGUGGAAUUCCAUGUGUAGCGGUGAAAUGCGUAUAUAUAUGGAGGAACACCGGUGGCGA
rnacentral:rRNA from 1 species